rnacentral:rRNA from 1 species
AAUGAACGUUGGCGGCGUGGAUUAGGCAUGCAAGUCGAGCGAGAACCCCGCAAGGGGGGACAGCGGCGAAAGGGACAGUAAUGUGUAGAUUAUCUGCCCUCAGGUCCGGGAUAGCUGCGGGAAACUGCAGGUAAUACCGGAUAACAUCUCCGGAUCAAAGGUGUGAUUCCGCCUGAGGAUGAGUCUGCAUCCUAUUAGCUAGUUGGUGGGGUAAUGGUCUACCAAGGCAUUGAUGGGUAGCAGGUGUGAGAGCACGACCUGCGUCAUUGGGACUGAGACACUGCCCAGACACCUACGGGUGGCUGCAGUCGAGAAUCUUCGGCAAUGGGCGCAAGCCUGACCGAGCGACGCCGCGUGUGGGAUGAAGGCCUUCGGGUUGUAAACCACUGUCAGAGGGGAUGAAAUGCAGGUGGGUUCUCCCAUCUGUUUGACAUAGCCUCAGAGGAAGGACGGGCUAAGUUCGUG